CACACACACAGUGGACUAAUGGACUGCAACUAGCCUGAUGCUGAACUGGACCCAACUGCAAUAUGGAACAGAAACUUUGGACAUUGGCUUUGCUUGUAGCUCUACUGAAACCCCAGCUAUGCCUCCUCUACAAUUGGACUCAGGGAAAUGGAACUUUGAAAACCCUAGGAUGAAAUUUUUCAAAAAUAAAAGU